AAACCCAGUGUGAUUCGUCACACUAUCAUUAACUGAAUCCAUAGGUUAAUGAGGCGAACCGGGGGAACUGAAACAUCUAAGUACCCCGAGGAAAAGAAAUCAACCGAGAUUCCCCCAGUAGCGGCGAGCGAACGGGGAGCAGCCCAGAGCCUGAAUCAGUGUGUGUGUUAGUGGAAGCGUCUGGAAAGGCGCGCGAUACAGGGUGACAGCCCCGUACACAAAAAUGCACAUGCUGUGAGCUCGAUGAGUAGGGCGGGACACGUGGUAUCCUGUCUGAAUAUGGGGGGACCAUCCUCCAAGGCUAAAUACUCCUGACUGACCGAUAGUGAACCAGUACCGUGAGGGAAAGGCGAAAAGAACCCCGGCGAGGGGAGUGAAAAAGAACCUGAAACCGUGUACGUACAAGCAGUGGGAGCACGCUUAGGCGUGUGACUGCGUACCUUUUGUAUAAUGGGUCAGCGACUUAUAUUCUGUAGCAAGGUUAACCGAAUAGGGGAGCCGAAGGGAAACCGAGUCUUAACUGGGCGUUAAGUUGCAGGGUAUAGACCCGAAACCCGGUGAUCUAGCCAUGGGCAGGUUGAAGGUUGGGUAACACUAACUGGAGGACCGAACCGACUAAUGUUGAAAAAUUAGCGGAUGACUUGUGGCUGGGGGUGAAAGGCCAAUCAAACCGGGAGAUAGCUGGUUCUCCCCGAAAGCUAUUUAGGUAGCGCCUCGUGAAUUCAUCUCCGGGGGUAGAGCACUGUUUCGGCAAGGGGGUCAUCCCGACUUACCAACCCGAUGCAAACUGCGAAUACCGGAGAAUGUUAUCACGGGAGACACACGGCGGGUGCUAACGUCCGUCGUGAAGAGGGAAACAACCCAGACCGCCAGCUAAGGUCCCAAAGUCAUGGUUAAGUGGGAAACGAUGUGGGAAGGCCCAGACAGCCAGGAUGUUGGCUUAGAAGCAGCCAUCAUUUAAAGAAAGCGUAAUAGCUCACUGGUCGAGUCGGCCUGCGCGGAAGAUGUAACGGGGCUAAACCAUGCACCGAAGCUGCGGCAGCGACGCUUAUGCGUUGUUGGGUAGGGGAGCGUUCUGUAAGCCUGUGAAGGUGUACUGUGAGGUAUGCUGGAGGUAUCAGAA
rnacentral:rRNA from 1 species